GGAGAGGUGCCAGAGAGGCUAAAUGGCGCACAUUGGAAAUGUGAUGGUCGCAGCAAUGCGGCACGCGAGUUCGAACCUCGCCCUCUCUUCCA
rnacentral:tRNA from 1 species